UACAGAGGGUGCAAGCGUUGUUCGGAAUUAUUGGGCGUAAAGCGCGUGUAGGCGGCUUGGCAAGUCAGAUGUGAAAGCCCCUCGGCUUAACCGAGGAAGUGCGUCUGAAACUGCUGAGCUUGAGUGUCGGAGAGGAUGGCGGAAUUCCGCAAGUAGAGGUGAAAUUCGUAGAUAUGCGGAGGAACACCGGUGGCGAAGGCGGCCAUCUGGACGACCACUGACGCUGAGACGCGAAAGCGUGGGGAGCGAACAGG
rnacentral:rRNA from 1 species